rnacentral:misc_RNA from 1 species
CUGAGUACUACACUCUCUACCCUUUGUGAACUAUUAUACCUGUUGCUUCGGCGGCGCCCGCGAGGGUGCCCGCCGGUCUCAUCAGAAUCUCUGUUUUCGAACCCGACGAUACUUCUGAGUGUUCUUAGCGAGCUGUCA